AUUAAUCAUAAUAAUUAGGUAUGAAUGAAUGACCUUGAUCAAUUGAUAUGACAUAAUUCUUCUAUCCAAAACUGAGCAUUACGGAUAGCCAAUUUGAGAAUGACAUAAGAUUUGAAUGUCAGGCAGUUGUUCUACUAUGUCCAAAUUUGACAUGAGUUCAGGAGGUCAGCAGGCUAACAGAUAAGUAUACACAUAGAGUUCAUGUGUCAGAGCUGACAUGUUUUUACAUGCUUUAAAGUUAAAGCAGAUAAUCCAUAACUUAGCUAUUUAUUUGAUAUUGUUGUUUAAUUAUUUAGAGCUAGUUUAAGUGAAGUCUUAGUCAUACUAAUAUGUAUUAGUAUAUAGUUACUUAAUGAAGUUAUAGCUUUAUAGCUGAUAAUAUAGGUUUUAUGACAUUGCAUCAUCUGCACACCACUCAGUAUAUUCUAAGUAUAGAGUGUCACAUGUGUGCCUGUCAAUCAAACUCCAUACGACUCUGUGCUAAGAUCUUCAUAUUGCUGAACCUAGCAGAUAUUAAUAUUUGCCAUACAAGGGUCUAAGCCUGGGCCGUAUGAGGUCAUGACGUUCACUUGUAACAUAUAUUUAAGCUUUGCUUUAAAGAAGGCUGGACACAUUUGCACCACACACUUACAUGACACACUGAUACACACUUAAACUAAGACACUCUCAUUCACACCCUCUUUGAAAGACAACACUGACAUACUGACAUAUUGACAAGGAGAACAGCUGAAGCCAGAAGUCUAAGAACGUCAUUUCCUGCUUCACUUUGGAAAAUCUCUGAGACAAAAUGGCUUGAAGGCAGCUCACAUGCUUUCAUAAGCUUGCUACAAUACUAUCGAUCCAAUUCCAGAUAUUUUCAUCUACGCUAAACUGAACUUUAUACUAUUUUUCAUUGUGUUUGUGAUGCCACCUGUGUGACAAUAAACUCACACGUUAUUUUCAAAUCAACCUGACUAUGAAUGAUCUUCAUUCAGAUACGCCCUUGAAGCUAUAAGAAUAUUAGUUAUUAAUUUUACAUUCUUACAGUGGCGAGCCAAAGAAAGUACUGUCUUAUCUCUAUUUUUACGGAAAUCUCGACCCUUGAUGAGGGGGGGAGAGAUUGGCGCAGUCUUUGCGAAUAUUCAAGUCUCGAGAAAAAAGAUGGUUCAGAACCUAUCAAGCAAGAGGCGUUUGUGUCGCGUCAGAUGUGGACAACAGUCCAGUAACAGCCGGUUGAUGACGAGAAAUCCUUCUAAUAACGAUAUGGCAUCUACAAUCAAACAAAUAUGGAGGAUAACAAACUUCUAUAAAGAGCAAAGAGAAAUUUGAAGUUAAAAGAAGAGAUCCUUUUUGGAAGAAUAUUUGACAAAAGAUUUAUAUUUCAUAUUUAUGAACUAUUUUAUCUUAUUCAUCAAGGUUUUUCUAACCUAAUGGAACUUGAAGAAAUUUUAAAGACAUUUCAUGAAGAAACAUUAAUCGGAAGGAACUUUAUCUAUCUACUAUAGAUAAACAAUUUAGGACUGAAACAUUUGUUCACAUAUACAUAUACAUUUUUUGAUUAUCCAAUUAUUAUGAUAUUAAUGUUCACAUGAAGUUAGGAUUAUUAUUUUUAUUUAUUUUUAUUUAUUCACAUAUUGAAUGUUAGCACACUCAUUCUAGUUAAUAGAACAUUUUUUGUUCAUAACUUAAGAAAGAUAUCAUUAAUAGAGUAUAAAGUAUAUUUCCAAAGAGCUAAAAUAUUAUUUGAGCACAUAUAUGGAAAUAUAUUAUUGCAUUAUUUACUUAUUUUAAUAAUAAUAAUUUUCAUUAUUAUUAUUAUUAUUAUUAAUAUUAAUAAUUAUUGAUAUUAGUCAUCAUUAUGUUAUACAUUUUUAAAAUCUAUACCAUUAUUUCUGGUAAGAUUUUGAUUAGAUAGAUCUAAGAAGAGUUAAAAGUAAAGAGUAAAGCAUUUAGGAAAAGGAAAAUUUCUAGUUGCUUCAGUUCUGAGGAAUAUCGUGUCCAAUCGUUUGAUACAAGGUGGAGAAAAUGAGAUAUGAAUGUAUGUAUGUGUGUAUUAAAUGAUUUAGUAUGAUUAAUCAUAAUUCAGGGGGGAUUGUUAGAAUAUUAUUCCAAAUU